rnacentral:rRNA from 1 species
UCCAGACUCCUACGGGAGGCAGCAGUGGGGGAUAUUGCACAAUGGGGGGAACCCUGAUGCAGCGACGCCGCGUGGGUGAAGGAGCGUUUCGGCGCGUAAAGCCCUAUCGGCAGGGAAGAAGGAGGACGGUACCUGGCUAAGAAGCCCCGGCUAACUACGUGCCAGCAGCCGCGGUAAUACGUAGGGGGCAAGCGUUAUCCGGAUUUACUGGGUGUAAAGGGGGCGCAGACGGCAGCGCAAGCCAGGAGUGAAAGCCCGGGGCCCAACCCCGGGACUGCUCUUGGAACUGCGCGGCUGGAGUGCAGGAGGGGCAGGCGGAAUUCCUGGUGUAGCGGUGAAAUGCGUAGAUAUCAGGAGGAACACCGGUGGCGAAGGCGGCCUGCUGGACUGCAACUGACGUUGAGGCCCGAAAGCGUGGGGAGCAAACAGGAUUAGAUACCCGAGUAA